AUUGAACGCUGGCGGCAGGCCUAACACAUGCAAGUCGAGCGGCAGCGGGAAAGUAGCUUGCUACUUUUGCCGGCGAGCGGCGGACGGGUGAGUAAUGCCUGGGAAAUUGCCCAGUCGAGGGGGAUAACAGUUGGAAACGACUGCUAAUACCGCAUACGCCUACGGGGAAAGCAGGGACCUCGGGCCUUGCGCGAUUGGAUAUGCCCAGGUGGGAGUUAGCUUGUUGGUGAGGUAAUGGCUCACCAAGGCGACGAUCCCUAGCUGGUCUGAGAGGAUGAUCAGCCACACUGGAACUGAGACACGGUCCAGACUCCUACGGGAGGCAGCAGUGGGGAAUAUUGCACAAUGGGGGAAACCCUGAUGCAGCCAUGCCGCGUGUGUGAAGAAGGCCU
rnacentral:rRNA from 1 species